UGCCAGCCGCCGCGGUAAUACGUAGGGACCAAGCGUUAUCCGGAAUUAUUGGGCGUAAAGGGUUCGUAGGCGGCCCAUCAAGUCCGAGUUGAAAGCCCAUGGCUCAACCAUGGAGGGUGCUCGGAAACUGAUAGGGCUUGAAUUCAGAAGAGGCAAGUGGAAUUCUAUGUGGAGCGGUGGAAUGCGUAGAUAUAUGGAGGAACACCAGUGGCGAAGGCGGCUUGCUGGGCUGAUAUUGACGCUGAUGAACGAAAGCGUGGGGAGCAAACAGGAUUAGAUA
rnacentral:rRNA from 1 species